rnacentral:tRNA from 1 species
UGGGGCGUAGCCAGUGGUAAGGCACCGGUUUUGGUACCGGCAUUCGGAGGUUCGAAUCCUCCCGCCCCAGCCA